rnacentral:rRNA from 1 species
UAAAUUAAAACUUUCAACAACGGAUCUCUUGGCUCUGGCAUCGAUGAAGAACGCAGCGAAAUGCGAUAAGUAAUGUGAAUUGCAGAAUUCAGUGAAUCAUCGAAUCUUUGAACGCACAUUGCGCCCGCCAGUAUUCUGGCGGGCAUGCCUGUUCGAGC